rnacentral:lncRNA from 1 species
UUGGUAGAAAUGAAGUCAAAAGGAGAUUGAGAACCUUCCAGAUCUUCUGAAGAGACCAUUUCUUUCUGAAGAGUACAAGUAGGAGAGGAUACAAAAGCAACAAUAGCACCAUUUGAAUGAUAUGGGUAAACUUUAACCAAAAUUGGAUUAUUCAAAUAAGGAUGAUUCCUAAGGUCAGAGAUUGUAAACCAAGAAUGAAGAAGUAGAUCUGAGCUCACCAACAAAUUUGCAAAUUCUUGGCCACUACUAAACCUGUAGAACAAAAAAAUGAAAAAUUGGGUCAUGUAAAACAAUACAAUCUUGAACAAUAAAGCAAAAAGAUUUGAACUUUUUGUAGUAUAUGCCAUAAAAGAAUAAAAAUUGCCACUCACAUGGAAACUUGGCUCAUCUUGGCCUUUGGAGAAUUUGACAUAUUCCUGAAGGCCUAGCUAACAUCUAAUAUAAAUAAGCAUAGCAGUAGAAGAUAUUGCACAAGAAGUUAAAAUACAAGUUUGACAAAUGAGGCAAAAAAAGGGUUGGCAAAUGAGAAAGGAAUGAGGAAAGUAGAUGUAAAGGACAAGAAGAAAAUGCCCAGAAAUUGAAGGAGAAGAAGGGAAUGGUGGUUUACUUUUUGAUUUUUCUUGACUCUCAAGUCUACUAGUAUAACUAAUACUCCCUUAGUUUCAAUUUACGUGACACAGUUUGACAUGAAACAAGAUUAAAGAAAUUUUAGUCAUAUGGAACUAAGGAUACACAUGAGUACUCGUAAGUAGGAAUAGUUUAGUUUAUUAACUAUCUAAAUUUUCGAUUUGUUGGACAGGAUUUUAUUUCCACUUUGUAUUUCUCUCGCCCCCACACCCCCUGUUUCCUCCUCCCUCCCAAUAAAAAAGAAAAGAAAAGAGAGAGUAGUCGUAAUCGGUUAAACUUCUGAGAGGUUUCUAACUCAGCUUUAGUUUAAUCAUCUUCCAUUCUUGAAGACUUUUUUUCUUCUGCAAGUUGAACAAGUCGAGUCUAUACUAUUAAAUUAAUGCCUAGUGUACUAUACAGACAUGAAUUUGAAAAUUUUGGGAGGGGUUGGUGGGACUAAGAGGAUGAUUCCAUGAUAUUUAAUUUUAAAUAUGCAGGCACUAGCUUUAUUAUAGGCAUAAUACAAAUUGGACCCUAAACUUGGCUUCAAAUUUUAAGUAUGACCUCUAACUUUCAUAGUGCAUAAGUAGGCACUUUAACUAUCCAAUUCUUAAACAAAAAAUACGCGAAUCCAACAGCCAAAUUGUGUGAUAUACAAACGCUCCAACGUGGCUUAUUGAGCCACUCAGUGGCUGCCACGUAAUUAAAAAAUUACACGUAUUUUAUAAUUAAAAAAAGAAAUUAAAAUACAAAAGGGUAGGGUCGUAUUUUGUUUUCCCAACCCACCCCCUACCAGCCCCUCCACCCCCCAAAAAAAAUUGAAAUUUAUUUUUAAAAAAUAUUUUCAACUUCAAAAUUUCUUUUUUUUCACCCCUACCUCGACCCGCCCCACCCAGCAAACAUCUAAUACAAUAAGCAUAGCAGUAGAAGAUACUGCACAAGAAGUUAAAAUACAAGUUUGACAAAUGAGGCAACAAAAAAGGUCGGCAAAUGAGAAAGGAAUGAGGAAAGUAGAUGUAAAGGACAAGAAGAAAAUGCCCAGAAAUUGAAGGAGAAGAAGGGAAUGGUGGUUUACUUUUUGAUUUUUCUUGACUCUCAAGUCUACUAGUAUAACUAAUACUCCCUUAGUUUCAGUUUACGUGACACCGUUUGACAUAACACAAAAUUAAAGAAAUUUUAUAGUCAAUAUGGGACAAAGAGUACACAUGAGUACUCGUAAGUAGGAAUAGUUUAGCUGAUUGACUACCUCAAUUUUCGAUUUGUUGGUGAGAAUUUUAUUUCCACUUUAUAAUCCUCUCGCCCCACACCCCUGUUUCCUCUUCCCUCCCAAUAAAAAUGAAAAUAAAAAAGAGUGAGCAGUCGUAAUCAGUUAAACUUCUGAGAGGUUUCUAGCAUCAGUUUAAUAUUUUCCAUUUUUGAAGACUUUUUUUCUUCUGCAAGUUGAACAAGUCCUACACUAUUAAAUUAAUGCCUAGUGUACUAUAUAGACAUGAAUUUGAAAAUUUGAGGAGGGGUUGGUGGGAGUAAGAGGAUGAUUCCAUGAUAUUUAAUUUUAAAUAUGCAGGCACUAGCUUUAAGCCAUUAUUAUAAGAAGAUAUAGUGAAGAGUAAUAUUUCUUUAUAUACUUAUUAUACUUCUUGAUAUCCUAAUAUUAAAACACACUUAUGGUGUUUCUUGACUAUAAGGUAGAAUCAAUUGAAAUAUUCAAUUUUUGAAAGGAGAAAGGAGUAAACUAGUGGUAGUUUAAUUAUAAAAUGUAGUACUAUCACAACUACAAUGAUUGUAACAUAAAGCAAAAGUAGAAUAUUCUACACGUCACGACAAUUUUCCAAAGGACAUAAACCAAUUAAUUAGUUUGAAGAAGUUGCAUCCCAACUUCCUCUGUAUCUUACAUUAUAACAUGAAUAGUCUUAACUCAUAUCAUGGAAGAAAACUUUGUGCAUGGUUCUAUUAUGGUUAAUGAGUGGCUCUGAUAUUUACACCAAGCCAAAUUAGUAUUAAUAGAUUAAGCCAAAAAAAAAAAUUCAUCAUCUUCAUCUGGGUUAUGUUUCUCUUUUGAGAUUUCUUCCCAAUUGAAUUCAUUGUAAAGAGGGGAAAUUCGAGUAGGACUAGCAGGUGCACUGUAAAACAACGUGGCAGCACGUGGAGGACUUGACGGACCACUCAUGUACGGAGUAGUAUAACCACUGUCGAUGUUGAAAUCCACAUGAAGAAAACUGCCAUAAGAAUACUUGAAAUCAGUUCAAUACGAAGAAAUACGAAAUCAGUUCAUACUAAGAAAUACGAAAUCAGUUCAAUAAUAGGAAGAAAUCAGUUCAUAUACUUACAUCUGGACGAGGGCAUCUGAAAAAUCUUCUUCCGGGAUUAGAUGUAGUACUCGAAAUCAGUGUUUUGACCACUAAACCACAAGCACAUUUUCUUUGAGACGAAUAACUAUUUUGUGACAUUUUCUGAAAAGAAAAAUCAGAGGUGAACGAAAGAGAUGGUGGAAAGAACAAUCAGAAGGAAGAGAAAUGAAGAACAAUGGAGGAGAAGUUAAAGAGUUAUAUGGAAAAUUUGAGAGAAUGGGUAAAAGGGGAAUGGGCUAUCCUCUAGAGGGGUCGGGGGCAAGUCGGGGCAUUGGGUUAAAAAUAGGGAAUAAGGUUUUAGAAAAAAAAUUCCGGUAAUUUGGAUCAAUUUUGGGGAUUCCAUCAAAUGAGAGGUAAUUUUGGUGAAAUUAGUAAUGGGAAGGAUAAAUUUAACUUCAUUUUAACGGCAAGGAUAAAGUCAAACUAUAAACGAAAGUUGAGAGGUAUUUUUGACCCUUUUCCCUUAAAAAAAUAGUAGAAGAUCGUUACUGCCCCUUUUUUAAAAUUAUACUUCUUAUCAAUUCCAAUUUUUCUUUUAACAAUUUAUUUCUAGUUUUACAAUUACUAGAAGCGAAAAGCUUCUUCUUCUUUUUUGGCUACGUUUUUUACGUUAUUUUUAGAAAGAUUAUAAUUAAAUAAUUGGAGCGGAUCAAUAAAAUAAUUAAAAUAGAUAUCUUAUUAUUUCUUUAAAAAUAGUUUAAGAUAAAAUUUAUUGAAAAAAUUAUUUAAAUUGAUUGAGUGACUUUCUAAGUGAAAUAUAAAUAGUUGGGUGACUUUUUAAAUAAAAACAUCAAUAGUUGGAUGACUUUUGAGUUAUAAAACAAAGUUGAGUGACUUUCUAAGUAAACAACUUAAAGUUGAGUGAUUUUUUAAGUAAACAACUCAAAAUUGAGUGAGCAUCUGAGAUAUUAACUCAUUUCUCAUGUGUACUUGAAUCGCAAAAAGAUUUAUAGAAAUGAGCAGACUUUUAGGCACUACUAGGAUUUGGAAAUGAAAUGCUUUUUCUCUGAUAACGAGUUACUUGUUCAAUGGGGAUAGAGAAUGGUGCGUUGGAUUUUAAGCUUUUAAGUUUAUUUACUGAUAUUCUAACUCCGCCUCUGAUUAACGGUUGACCCCUCUAGAUGAAGAGGAUGAUUGUAGGUGAGGUGGACUAGUUUGGCGUUAAAUUUCAGUUCUAUAGUCUCUUGAUUAAAUAUAUCACGUGUAUAUAUUGUGUAUAUCACUGAGCAUACCCAUAUUUUCAUGGAUAUUUGUGUAUGAUAUACAUGAUAUAUAGGAGAUACAAGGGGGAUAUACAUAGAUGGAGUCGUUUUCAACCUCAAGUUUUUAAUUUGAAAAUCAGCUCAAAUUCACCUCAAAUAGUCUCCAAACAAUUUGAAAAUUGAUAUUCAAGCUCUUAAAAUAUUAAGUAAAAUCCAUAAAAUUUUCUUCUUUUUUUGGGUACUAAAGAUGAAACUUCAUUAACUAAACAGGAAUGUUACAGGGAGUGUGCACAGACCUAUUUGGUAAAUGGUAAUACAAUACAUUUUCACAUACCGAUCUUAUUAAGUUAUGCAACUGGAGUAGAGUCGCUUAUAGAAUGCCGACGACUAUUUUCCACUUAGUAAGUAAAGGGGAGAGGGAAGCCAGGCUUAGCGAGUUUUAUAAGGCCGACCACUACAUGAGCCGCUGGUGGAGACUGGAGUAGUUAACACUAACUACCAUUCUAAGCAUAACUUUGAUAAUCUCCAUUUUCCAUGUAAAAGGCCAAAGGCAAAUUACUCAAACAGCUUAGAAUAUCUUGCCUAUAAUCUUUCCACCAAUUCAUGAAGCUACUCUGAGGCUGGAAAAUCUCAGAGGAUACUGAAUAGCUCCAUAUCAUAUUCAUUACAUAUCCCCCAAAUUUAACCAAAUACGCCGUUGCAUUUUCCUUCUCUUCUAGACUGCCUUCUCUCAGUCUUUUGGAAUUUAUAAUAGCUUCCUCCACAUAUGCCCAAAAGCAAGAAUCUUCGGUGAGGUUAACGGACUUCCUUCUAUAGUUACCACUUCCAGACGGGUUGUCUUCUUUCCUCCAUUCCUCCAACUUUUUAUAGUGCUCGGAUCUUCCAAGAUUUACAUAGUCUGUGUCCCUGAUUUCAUAUAGUAUUCAGCUAUGUCGAGUGGCUCGACCAUCCUUCUAUAGUUUUGUCCCUGAAUACAGCCAACGAGUACGAAAAGCUGCCUUUUUGCUUUGUGGCAUUUCCUCUACUUCUGCAACCUUUGUUUUCCAGUACCUAUUGAGGAUUCUUUGGUGCUUGACAAUUUCUUGUCUGCUUUUGACAGCAUCCCUGCCUCGAUACUCACUGCGUUUAAAACUAUCAUAGUAGCCUCCUUCUUUCAGGGUUACUUUCUUGUACCACUCUAGCCAUGCCAUAGCUUCUUUCAUUUUGUUUAGCUUCUUGCCAGGAUCAAUGGCAUUCCUCUUCUUUGCGAAAGAUUCCUCCACUCUUUUCUUCACUUUAGUCCUUAGAGGGUUCAUGUUACUUGUCUGAUGCCACGACAAUUAUAUGCAUUAUAGAAGUUAGAAAUACAGGUUUAGAAACAAGUUCUAUAAGUUUUACGAAUGUUAUCUCUAUUGAUUUCCUAUUCAUUCAAACUUUAGCUCAAGAAUGGGAAACUAUACUUGCUUUCAUUUUAGGAGUAAGAGUUUGUUUUACCUGUCCACCAAUUCCGAUUGCUUCUAGCUGUAGAUCAAUGCCUGCUUGAAGUUGAUCCACGCUAUAGUGAAACAGCUGAGAAGUACCCUUAAAGAUUACUCUAUGCUUGAGGAGUUCCAAAACCUGUUCAUAGUCGAAAGCCAAGAAACGAUUGUCCUGGUGUUGGCUAUUUAAGUUCAUUUCCAUCAUAAUAUCCAAAACUGAUUCAGGCUCCUCAAAACAGGAGCAGUCUGAAUCUGAGCACAGCAGAAACAUGCCGAAUGGAUUGUAAAUACAAGAUUGAGGAAUAGAACCAGCAAGGGCAUUAGUUGGUGAAAUUAAAAAUCUUGGGAUUGGAUCAUGGUUCGAGACUACGUGCAAGAAGCUUGAAUUCCAUGAUGGACGUUCUGAUAUGGCUUGUGCAGGCCACUAUCACCAAGAAGAGGUGAACCAAAAGUGAUGCAAGUGGGACGCUUAUUAUUGUCCUUAAGUAGCCAGAGAGUGAAUAGAGAUGCCACAGAACCUCCCAAAGACACUCCAGUGAUUAUUAGAGGACUGAAACUGCCCAACUGCAGUCAAUCAGAAUGAACAAAACAUCAACAUGAAUAUAUGAACAACAAGGCUCCUGCAGACGAAACUAACACCAUAAAAUCUAUAAAAGAUUCUAGCUUUAUAGAUUUAAUGAAUGCAGUCAAUCAUUAAUUUUUUUGGCAACUCUUUGAUUCUAGCUCUCUACCUACUAUGUCUAAGACUACAACAUGAAAUAGCAUUUCAGUACAUUCUACAGAACUUUAGUUUAAGACCAUAAAAUUUAAAAGUUACUUUGCAUUUUUAAGUUUUGUACCAAAUCAAAAGCAGACAAAUAAAUUAAAACAGAAGAAGUAAUAUCUAGCACAAGUAAGGAAAGCUCAAGAGAAAUCACAAAUUUUGCAGAGAAAUAAAAGAAUAUUAUAGUACCUCUUCUUUGAGGUCAGAGAGCUCAUUCAGUAAUGAAGCAAAAAGGGUUAUUGCUGCUUUGUUAACUGAGAAAUGAGGGUUGAAUUUGGUAGAAAUGAAGUCAAAAGGAGAUUGAGAACCUUCCAGAUCUUCUGAAGAGACCAUUUCUUUCUGAAGAGUACAAGUAGGAGAGGAUACAAAAGCAACAAUAGCACCAUUUGAAUGAUAUGGGUAAACUUUAAUCAAAAUUGGAUUAUUCAAAUAAGAAUGACUCCUAAGGUCAGAGAUUGUAAACCAAGAAUGAAGAAGUAGAUCUGAGCUCACCAACAAAUUUGCAAAUUCUUGGCCACUACUAAACCUGUAGAACAAAAAAAUGAAAAAUUGGGUCAUGUAAAACAAUACAAUCUUGAACAAUAAAGCAAAAAGAUUUGAACUUUUUGUAGUAUAUGCCAUAAAAGAAUAAA